rnacentral:rRNA from 1 species
CCCUUAGAUGUCCUGGGCCGCACGCGCGCUACACUGAGUGUCUGAGAUACGAGUCUGCCUGGUCCGGCAAGGUCUAGGUAAUCGCUAAAAGACACAUCAUGCUUGGGAUAGAUUAUUGCAAAUAUUAAUCUUGAACGAGGAAUUCCUAGUAAGCGCAAGUCAACAGCUUGCGUUGAUUACGUCCCUGCCCUUUGUACACACCGCCCGUCGCUACUACUGAUUGGAUGUUUAAGCGAGGUUCUCGAACUGCUAGCGACUUAGCUUCGGUGAGGUCGCAGUGUUGGAAGUGAACCGAGCUUUGGUGUCUAGAGGAAGUAAAAGUCGUAACA